rnacentral:lncRNA from 1 species
AAAUAUCAAAAAACACGUGAAAAUAUCACUUCCAUUAUCAGAAAACUAAACUUGCAGUGCUGGAUUUAUAUAUUAUGAGUACGUAGUUUAAUAGUUAUUUCUAAAUUAAGCUGGCCUAGGCAUUACCAAUAACAUUAAGAAAGCUUUACAUGAAAAUGGGAGCCCAAGAAUCAUACUUGACAUAAUAUUAAAUUUCAAUUACUUUUAGAAAACAUUUUUUCCACCAAAUCUUUACUUGAAUUAUUUAGUAUGAGCCUUAAUAAAGCUUUUACUAAAUCUAAUAUCCCUUGUCCCCAAAAAAAAGAAAAAAAAACAGAGAGAAGAAGUUCCUUCUCUUCCUCUCUCUUGAUAUAAAUCCGGCUUGCAGUAAUUAUAUCCAUUUGCUGUAUAAUAGGAAUACAUGUAGGUAGAGCUUUAUGCCAUGAAGGGGCCAUGCAUGCUAGUCUUUUAUGCAACAUUUUCAGGAGCAUUGAAUCAGUGGUGAAAGGAGAACAGGAAUAUAUAUAUAUAUAUGGGGUUCCAUCUAUAGCAACCGGUUGCUGUAGAACAACCUUUUUUUUGGCCUAUGAAAUUUCGACUGAAACAAUAAAAAAAAAAUUAAAAAAAUUCAUAAGCCAAAAAUAGAAUUGCUCUACAGCAUGCCCUAUAUAUAUAUAUAUAUAUAUAUAUAUAUAUAUAUAUAUAUAUAUAUAUAUAGAGCCCGGAUCAGAGGCAUUCCGCUUAAAUGACAUUAUCCCUUAAACGACAUUACCUAUUUAAGCCUCCGUGUUUUUCCAGUUUAACAUUCUCUCUCCUCUGCCCAAAACAAAAUUUGAGCUGCGAUGCUCUAUUUCUCUCCUUCACAAAACCUUCCUAGCAAAAUUCGAAUCAAGCAAGAAGACGGAGACCAAGAAUCGAAGUUUAUGCCCAGAUCUCGACUUCGAUUCCGUAUACCCUUUCUUUGUUUGUGUAAUUUCGGUAAGAAUUGACCCAUCAUUUUAUUCGUAUUGAUCUUCCUUGUUGAUCUUCCUUUCUUUAUUUGUUGUUGUUUUUUUACACAGAUUAGAGAUAUUUAUACAUGUAAUGGGUAUAAAUCGAAGAACAGUUGUAUUCUCAUUAUACAAUAAAAUAAAUGUGUAAAUAUCGAGAGAGAGAGAGAGACGGACAGUUUAUCGGCUUUGAUGAUUACCUUCUCGGGAGCAUAAACCCAUUACAUGUAUAAAUAUCUCUAAUCUGUGUAAAAAAACAACAACAAAUAAAGAAAGGAAGAUCAACAAGGAAGAUCAAUACGAAUAAAAUGAUGGGUCAAUUCUUACCGAAAUUACACAAACAAAGAAAGGGUAUACGGAAUCGAAGUCGAGAUCUGGGCAUAAACUUCGAUUCUUGGUCUCCGUCUUCUUGCUUGAUUCGAAUUUUGCUAGGAAGGUUUUGUGAAGGAGAGAAAUAGAGCAUCGCAGCUCAAAUUUUGUUUUGGGCAGAGGAGAGAGAAUGUUAAACUGGAAAAACACGGAGGCUUAAAUAGGUAAUGUCGUUUAAGGGAUAAUGUCGUUUAAGCGGAAUGCCUCUGAUCCGGGCUCUCUCUCUCUCUCUCUCUCUCUCUCUCUCUCUCUAUAUAUAUAUAUAUAUAUAUAUAUAUAUAUAUAUAUAUAUAUAUAUAUAGCUAGC